CUACGGGCGGCUCCAGUGGGAAUCUUAGACAAUGGGGGAAACCCUGAUCUAGCCAUGCCGCGUGAGCGACGACGGCCCUAGGGUUGUAAAGCUCUUUCAGCAGGGAAGAUAAUGACGGUACCUGCAGAAGAAGUCCCGGCUAACUCCGUGCCAGCAGCCGCGGUAAUACGGAGGGGACUAGCGUUGUUCGGAAUUACUGGGCGUAAAGCGCGCGUAGGCGGAUUGUGAAGUCGGGGGUGAAAUCCCGGGGCUCAACCCCGGAACUGCCCUCGAUACUGGCAGUCUUGAGUUCGAGAGAGGUGAGUGGAAUUCCGAGUGUAGAGGUGAAAUUCGUAGAUAUUCGGAGGAACACCAGUGGCGAAGGCGGCUCACUGGCUCGAUACUGACGCUGAGGUGCGAAAGCGUGGGGAGCAAACAGGAUUAGAUACCCCUGUAGUC
rnacentral:rRNA from 1 species